AUUGAACGCUGGCGGCAGGCUUAACACAUGCCAGUCGAGCGAGCGGCGGACGGGUGAGUAAUGUCUGGGGAACUGCCUGAUGGAGGGGGAUAACUACUGGAAAAGGUAGCUAAUACCGCAUACUAUCGGAUGUGCCCAGAUGGGAUUAGCUAGUAGGUGGGGUAAUGGCUCACCUAGGCGACGAGCUCUAGCUGGUCUGCGAGGAUGACCAGCCACACUGGAACUGAGACACGGCCCAGACUCCUAAGGGAGGCAGCAGUGGGGAAUAUUGCACAAUGGGCGCAAGCCUGAUGCAGCCAUGCCGCGUGUGUGAAGAAGGCCUUAGGGUUGUAAAGCACUUUCAGCGAGGAGGCGUUACUCGCAGAAGAAGCACCGGCUAACUCCGUGCCAGCAGCCGCGGUAAUAC
rnacentral:rRNA from 1 species